AACGAACGCUGGCGGCAUGCCUAACACAUGCAAGUUGAACGAGGCCUUCGGGUCUAGUGGCGCACGGGUGCGUAACGCGUGGGAACCUGCCCUUAGGUUCGGAAUAACUCCCCGAAAGGGGUGCUAAUACCGGAUAAUGUCUUCGGACCAAAGAUUUAUCGCCUUUGGAUGGGCCCGCGUUGGAUUAGCUAGUUGGUAGGGUAAAAGCCUACCAAGGCGACGAUCCAUAGCUGGUCUGAGAGGAUGAUCAGCCACACUGGGACUGAGACACGGCCCAGACUCCUACGGGAGGCAGCAGUGGGGAAUAUUGGACAAUGGGCGAAAGCCUGAUCCAGCAAUGCCGCGUGAGUGAUGAAGGCCUUAGGGUUGUAAAGCUCUUUUACCCGGGAUGAUAAUGACAGUACCGGGAGAAUAAGCUCCGGCUAACUCCGUG
rnacentral:rRNA from 1 species